AGAGUUUGAUCCUGGCUCAGGAUGAACGCUAGCGGUGUGCCUAAUGCAUGCAAGUCGAACGGGAACCUUUGGAUUCGUCUGAAGGGGAGAGUGGCGGACGGGUGAGUAACACGUAGGUGACCUACCCCGGAGAGGGGGAUAACCACUGGAAACGGUGGCUAAUACCCCAGAUGAUUAAGCUUCUGGAAAACUUUAUCUAAAGUUCAGGCGCUCCGGGAGGGGCCUGCGGCCCAUCAGCUUGUUGGUAAGGUAAUGGCUUACCAAGGCUAAGACGGGUAGGGGGCGUGAGAGCGUGACCCCCCACACUGGUACUGAGACACGGACCAGAUACCUGCGGGUAGCAGCAGCAAGGAAUAUUGCCCAAUGGACGAAAUUCUGAGGCAGCAACACCGCGUGGAGGAUGAAGGUUUUAGGAUCGUAAACUCCUUUUCUGAGGGAAUAGAAAGGAAGGUACCUCAGGAAUAAGUCUCGGCUAACUACGUGCGAGCAGCCGCGGUAAAACGUGGGAGGCGAGCGUUAUCCGGAUUUACUGGGCGUAAAGCGCAUGCAGGCGGUUUUUUAAGUCGGACGUGAAAGCUCCUGGCUCAACUGGGAGAGGCCGUUCGAAACUAGAAAACUUGAGGAUGGUAGAGGAGAGUGGAAUUCCCGGUGUAGUGGUGAAAUGCGUAGAUAUCGGGAGGAACACCAGUGGCGAAGGCGGCUCUCUGGGCCAUUCCUGACGCUCAGAUGCGAAAGCUAGGGGAGAGAACGGGAUUAGAAACCCCGGUAUUCCUAGCCGUAAACGAUGUCAACUAGGCGUGGGAGGUCAUUGACCCCUCCUGUGCUGUAGCUAACGCGUUAAGUUGACCGCCUGGGGACUACGGCCGCAAGGCUAAAACUCAAAGGAAUUGACGGGGACCCGCACAAGCAGCGGAGCGUGUGGUUUAAUUCGAGCAACGCGAAGAACCUUACCAGGGCUUGACAUAUAUGUGGUAGUGAUCUGAAAAGUGAACGACCCUUCGGGGAGCAUAUACAGGUGCUGCAUGGCUGUCGUCAGCUCGUGCCGUGAGGUGUUCGGUUAAGUCCGAUAACGAGCGCAACCCCCAUCGUUAGUUAUACGUGUCUAGCGAGACUGCCGGUGAUAAGCCGGAGGAAGGUGGGGAUGACGUCAAGUCAGCAUGGCCUUUAUGUCCUGGGCUACACACACGCUACAAUGGCCGGUACAAUGGGUUGCCAAGCCGCGAGGUGGAGCCAAUCCCUCAAAGCCGGUCUCAGUUCGGAUUGUAGGCUGCAACUCGCCUGCAUGAAGUCGGAGUUGCUAGUAAACGCGCGUCAGCACAGUGCGUUGAAUACGUUCCCGGGUCUUGUACACACCGCCCGUCACGUCAUGGAAGUUGGCAACGCCUAAAGUCGGUGAGCUAACCCUCACGGGGGGCAGCCGCCUAAGGCGGGGUCGGUAACUGGGACGAAGUCGAACAAGGUA
rnacentral:rRNA from 1 species